UAGGAAAUCAUAGCAGGCAUUGUGUGGCACGAUGACAUCUUACUCGGCCAAAGAUGAUUAAAACAUUUCAAAAGGCUUUCGGUCAUGAUCCAAUAAGGGCUUUUAUAUUCUGAUUAUGAUGUUACAGUGGUCACUAGAUUUUAAGACACCCCUUUUAUAUUACUAACACAUUCAAUGGCUCAUAAAAUACUGGCCAUUAUAUAUGUUAACCAUUAUAAAAGUGUCAUGUAACAACCAAAAUGUCCAUCCUUUGACAUUCACAAAUUAAAGUUCUACUAUAAAAGCUUCUUUUAUGCAUCUUUAUAAAUUAUUAUGUUUGAUCUUCAUGAUUGUAUUAUUAAAUGCAUGUUAUUAAAUGCAAAAAAUACUAUUUAACUGUGAAAUGCUUAUAAGAUUGAUUUUUUUUUUCUCCUUUUUCUGUGGUUAUAAGCUUAUAUGCUGUCAUAGUGGCUAAGAUUUUUCACUAUAUAGCACUAAAGU
rnacentral:lncRNA from 1 species